UUUUUUAAUAACCCAUAUUAUUACUCAUCACAUUAUUGUAUUGUUGUUUUAAGCAUGCCAUUUUUUCGUACUGGAGCGCGUUAAAGAUCUGAUAAGCAAAACUUUCAAGAUUUAAGAAGAUAUGUAUAUAUACUUUAAGAUCACCAUAGCUAGUGUGGAUCAUUCUAGUGUGUAUUUUAAAAAUGGCAUAUUCCAUUUUGUUUACUCUACUUUCAAAUUUUUUUUUUUUUAAAGUGGGUCAUCACUACAGAAAUUAUUCAAUGAAAUAUAUCUUCUGUUUUGUAGCUCAAUGAAAACUCAUAAUUAUAUAAACAUAUUUCCUUAAAUUCCACACUCCAGUUGCCUCAUAUCCAUAAUGUGAUUUUUUUAUGUCUUGUUUUGGUAAAAUCUCUGAUUGUGUGUGGCUUUUUUACCUAGCUAUUAAAAUUAAUGGUUCGGUUUUCAGAUUCGGACUUAAAGUCAUAUCAAAACCCCUACCCAUUUUUCUAGCAUUUCCAAUAGUGGUUUACCAGCGCAACAACUCAAACAGCAUCUCACUCACAAAACCAUAUGAUCAUUCAUCAUCUAUAGCAUUUAAAUUAAAUUAAAUUAAAUUAAAUUAUUAAAGCAUCAUUGCUUAAUGCUUUAUUUUUCAUUUGCGCGCUAACUGAUUUUUAUUUAUUAAUUGUUCUCACUGCUUCUCUAUAUCUCUGUCUUGCAUACAACAAAGGAAAACACAAUGUGACACAGUUUAUACAAAAAAAAUCAUUAAUAAUUCAUAAUAUCAUUAGAAUCCUAUAAAAUGUUUUGUUGUUCAGGUAUAUGUACACACACUAAGUGAAUUUAAAAGAAUAUUAAACGAGAAGGGUUCAAAGCCGCCCGCCAUAGUUAACCAAAAGUAAGCAGAAACAUUAAUCUCAAUUAAAAAAAGUAAUUUUGUACGAGUGUCGACUUUUGUUUCACUAUAUUUUUUUUUUGGAAAUUUGUUUGCUUUGGAGAUUGAAAUCAUCCAACGUGAAGCACUUAUUGGGUUUAGUAAGACUCGCUCUCAAUUUAUUUCCGUAAGUGGAUCACGCUAUUAAAUUAUUAGGGGCAAUCACUCUUUGUCUGCGGUACAAAUCUAAAACAAACGAGGGAUCCCCAUUUUCGUGUUGCUCAAAAUAUUUUAUUAAGACUUCAAAGGCCAUGGCAGCCUCCACGUUUGAUAUUUGAGGCUCCACGUCUUCUUCCUCAUCCGACUCAAAGCGUCUCUCCUCCAGAAACUCUGCAGCAACGGUAUCCACAGCAUCUUGAUGUAAUUUGGUUUCAUCUUCUUCAGAAGGUCUAAUGUAUUCAUUAAUUUGCUUAACAGCUUCGCUGCCCUUGCUUGAAAUCAGAUUACCAAUUUCCAUAAUGGCCUUUUGAUACGACUCCAUUCCUUGUCCUUCGGCCUCGGAAUGUGGACCCAAUAAUCCUGAUCGGAGAAAAGAUGCUUGAAUAGUCUUUUCACUCACCCCAAAAUUCCAAGACCAAAGCAUCCACCGAAUGGCUUUUAAAACAUUAACGGCUUUUAGAGGAUCUCUCAAUAUGUUGAUUUGAUUAAGGGAGUAUUGCAACCAGUAUCUUCGAUAAUUCGCUUUAAAUGUAUCGACUAUUCCUUGUUCAAACGGAGACUUAAUGUCCAAUGUUUUUUCUGGAAUUCGAAAUACAGAGGUGUUCUGAAAACCACCUUUAAACCGUCGAACACUUUCAACACCGAACUGAUAUGUGUCAUUGCUCUCUAACAUCAAUAGGACCUUGCGUCCUUGCAUACGUGUGUCAAACCACCGAAGCCAUUCCUCCAUAAUAAUUGGUGAAAUUGAAGCUCGGCCAUUCCACUUCCAUUCGAAGUUCAUACUUUUAGGGAAAAUACCGCACUGCUCAAAAGAUCUUGGGUUUUGUGCAUAACCCACGAUCCAUAAAGGUAGUCGUUCUGACCCAUCGGCAUUGCAACACAUAAUUAAAGACACUUUGGCUUUUCCACGCUUCAUUCCCUGGAUUUCCUGAUAAUCCAAGUUUUGUUUAUUAGGAGUGAGUUUCCAAAAAAGGCUUGUCCCUCCAACGCAAAAUAUAUCUUUUUGGGCAUAAGGCCGUAUAAACUCUUGAAUAUGAACUGGGUAUUCUCUAAACACCUCAAAUUUGAUGGAUUCCAAUGCCUGAUUUACCGCACUUUGCUGGAUAUAAUGUCUUCUUCUAAAUUUAUCCAACCAACCAUUGCUAAAGUCUGGUAAUGGGAGAGAAGCAUACGCCGGAAUUUUCGACCAAAAUCGAGUAGCAGCUUGUUUGAUCAUAUCCCCUGAUAUAGGAAGGCCUUCAACUUCUCUUUGUUGCAACCAUUCGUACACGGCAUUGUCAAGCAAAGGAAACUUUGGAGCUCGAAUUUUUUUAAUAUCACCGAGUCUUACACUUCCAUCAUCUAAAUAACUGUAUUUGGGUGAAAGAAUUUCGGAAAUCGUUGACUGCGAUAAAUCUUUAUUGUACGUUUUUCGAAACCAUUCUGUCACUUCCUUUUGAGGAAUUCUAUGGGCAGAUUGGUUAUAAUAAUCUCGAAUUGCCUUUUUCUCUGCUAAAGAGACGGCCUGGCGUAUAGGAGGCAUUGAUUUUCCUUAAUACUUACUAUGCCGAUACUUUUCCAGACCGAUAUAAGAGUAUAGCCUUGGAUUUAUACAAUUAUUUUAUGUUGUAGUAGAUAUCGGAAAUAACGGUGAAAAGACGAAUUCUAUCCUUGUAGGGUUUAAGAAGGUGAGUACUACUAGUGCAUCCUUCUGCCUUGCACCCUAUAUAAUCUAAGUGCAAUAUACCGAACCUAUUGUUAAUCUGUAAUAACAAUGCCAUUGGAGAUGCUCAAAUUAUGACGUUCAGGUUAAUAUAGCAAAUUUGCGUAUCUUAACGAUUUUGUCAGUAAGAAAAAGAGAAUUCAAGAGCAAAAAAUAGGAGAAAGAACGACAUGAACGCUGUUAGAAACCGUUUAAAAUCAAUUCUCAUAUAUGUUUUAAAUGAGAGUCUAAUUGAAUACUUCCUCAAAUUUCAUUUCUGUAGCACACCUCUUC
rnacentral:lncRNA from 1 species